CCUACGGGAGGCUGCAGUGGGGAAUAUUGGACAAUGGGGGCAACCCUGAUCCAGCCAUGCCGCGUGUGUGAAGAAGGCCCUCGGGUUGUAAAGCACUUUCAGUGAGGAAGAACGCCUGGUGGUUAAUACCCAUCAGGAAAGACAUCACUCACAGAAGAAGCACCGGCUAACUCCGUGCCAGCAGCCGCGGUAAUACGGAGGUUGCGAGCGUUAAUCGGAAUUACUGGGCGUAAAGCGCGCGUAGGUGGCUUGAUAAGCCGGUUGUGAAAGUCCCGGGCUCAACCUGGGAACGGCAUCCGGAACUGUCAAGCUAGAGUGCAGGAGAGGAAGGUAGAAUUCCCGGUGUAGCGGUGAAAUGCGUAGAGAUCGGGAGGAAUACCAGUGGCGAAGGCGGCCUUCUGGACUGACACUGACACUGAGGUGCGAAAGCGUGGGUAGCAAACAGGAUUAGAUACCCCAGUAGUC
rnacentral:rRNA from 1 species